UACAGAGGUCUCGAGCGUUGUUCGGAUUCAUUGGGCGUAAAGGGUGCGUAGGUGGCGCUGUAAGUCGGGUGUGAAAUCCUGAGGCUUAACCUCGGAACUGCAUUCGAUACUGCGGCGCUUGAGGACUGGAGAGGAGACUGGAAUUCAUGGUGUAGCAGUGAAAUGCGUAGAGAUCAUGAGGAAGACCAGUGGCGAAGGCGGGUCUCUGGACAGUUACCGACGCUGAGGCACGAAGGCCAGGGGAGCAAACGGG
rnacentral:rRNA from 1 species